rnacentral:rRNA from 1 species
GACGUAGGUGGCGAACGUUAUCCGGAAUUAUUGGGCGUAAAGGGUGCGUAGGCGGCAUGAUAGGUUAUUGGCGGCAAAUCGAGGCUCAACCUCGUGGAAACUGAUAAUACUGUCUUGCUUGAGUGCAGAAGAGGUUAACGGAACUCCAUGUGGAGCGGUAAAAUGUGUAGAUAUAUGGAAGAACAUCAAUAACGGCGAAGGCAGUUAACUAUUCUGUUACUGACGUUGAGGCACGAAAGCGUGGGGAGCAAAAAGG